rnacentral:piRNA from 1 species
UAAAGGAGGUGUACUUCAUGUUCCUGAGA